AUGGCAGAUGCCAAGGCGAUUGAUGCACAGAUGGGCGCUGAAAAGGCGCUGGCGGCUGUUACUGCCGGUUUAUCAGGAGCCAACAUGGUUUAUGAAAGUUCUG
rfam:Rhodobacteraceae bacterium HTCC2150 1101159006518, whole genome shotgun sequence.